GACGAACGCUGGCGGCGUGCUUAACACAUGCAAGUCGAACGGAAAGGCCCUGCUCUUGUGGGGUGCUCGAGUGGCGAACGGGUGAGUAACACGUGAGUAACCUGCCCUUGACUUUGGGAUAACUUCAGGAAACUGGGGCUAAUACCGGAUAGGAGCUCCUGCUGCAUGGUGGGGGUUGGAAAGUUUCGGCGGUAGGGGAUGGACUCGCGGCUUAUCAGCUUGUUGGUGGGGUAGUGGCUUACCAAGGCUUUGACGGGUAGCCGGCCUGAGAGGGUGACCGGCGACAUUGGGACUGAGAUACGGACCAGAAUCCUACGGGAGGCAGCAGUGGGGAAUAUUGCACAAUGGGCGGAAGCCUGAUGCAGCAACGCCGCGUGCGGGAUGACGGCCUUCGGGUUGUAAACCGCUUUCGCCUGUGACGAAGCGUGAGUGACGGUAAUGGGUAAAGAAGCACCGGCUAACUACGUG
rnacentral:rRNA from 1 species